CAUGUGUGCCACAACCUUAUUUUCUGUAAUCUGAAAAUGACCACACUAAUUUGAAGAUAAAACAGAAACAAGGUAUAGAAUUUAGGAGACCUGUUUGGUGAGGCUGUCAAUCAAUGAUACAUGAAUAAAUGAGCCAUUUUCAAAAUGGCUGCCCUGCUAGAAGCCUGUCAGAAGUAAAAAGUAGUGACUGAAUUCCUGAAGGAGAAAUUCUUGUAAGCAUUUACAAAAGACUGAAAAAUGUUUACAAAUAUAAAACUUUAAACUAGAGCAAUAAGUGGAGGUGGGCACACUGCCUUAAUGACAAUUCCAACAGACCAAAAAAGAUUUUCAUUUUAAGAAGGAAGAGCCAUUUGGUUUUUACAAUAAUGAAUCAUAAGAGAAAACUACUAAUGAAACUGGAGAUAUCAGGUCUGGACCUGAAUAAAGUGUCUUCUGGAUAGGCACAUUAUCAAAAACUGAAAAUGACUCAAAUAAAACAUUAAUCUUGCAAAUUGUCGACAUGCUUUGUAGUGACUGAUCGUCAACUGUCAAACUUGUCAACAAGGAAAAAGCAGAUGCUUUAAUUAAAGCCGGUAAAUGCAUAACCAUUGAUGAGCUGGCAUCAGAACUUGGAGUUAGCCAUGAUAGUUCUCAAGACAUUAUUGAGUCACUUGGAUAUUGAAAAGUGUGGUCAAUGAGAGGGUAAUUGUUGCACUGUGCUCCUUGAACUUAGCAAAAGACAGAACCUUCUUCAAAGGCUCAUAACAAGUGGUGAAACUUGGAUUCAUCAUUGUAAACCUGAAUCAAAAAGACAAUCAAUGGAAUUGUAUCAUCCAGUGUCUCUAAAGACAAGAAAGUUCAAAGCAGAAAGUCAACUGGAAAAAUCAUGGUGGCUAUCUCUUGGGAUGCUCAAGGUGUUAUUCUUAUCGAGAAGAGAAACAGAUAACUUUAAAAGCAGACAUUGAGAUCCUUAAAAGACUUAGAGCAAGAAUUUACUGUGCAAGAUAUGGAGACAGAUAAAAUGCUUCAACACGGCAAACCUCAGAACAAGGGAGGCAAUCACUUCUUUUGGGUGGACAUCUCUGUCACAUCCUCCUUACUCGACUUAUCACUCUCAGAUUCCCAUUGAACCAGAGAUGCGAAUCUGAGAGUGUUAACUUGAGAGGGGAGGGCGUGCAGGAAAGAUCAAGGAAUGGACCCUAAAUUUUUCACUUGGUUCAAUAUUAACUCUCAUCUACAUAAUACAUACCUCUGUACAUAGAAGCUUUUUCAGACCACCCUAGUUAUUCACCUACUCCUAGCUUUCUUAAUACCUACCAGAUCAUUAGAAUGAGGGGCUCUGUUGCAGGCCUUCUCUUGGUCUAUAAUUGCUGUGUAUAGAGAGAUUUACUUCUAGCUAAGUAUUUCUCUUGCAGUUAUCUCAUUAGAAAGAUAUCAUCAAUGGUACCACUUCUUCAUACAAAUUUAUACCAUUUCUAAUCAAUUUUGCAAAAGCUUUUUCUGUAAUUUCCAUGAUGUAUCUUACAAUUUGAUACCCUUGUUAUUUCCUCCCUCUAAUGCAUUAUCUCUCCUGUUGUAACAAUUUACUAUAAUUCUGCUAACUGGUCUCUCUGUUGGGUCUACUUGGAGUAGACUCUCUCUCUCCCAUGCAUCGUCUUCUCAUUGUCGCACACUCAUGCCUCUUUCCUGCACACGUUUUACAGUGUGACAACUAGAGAUGCAAAGUAUUCAGAAUAAAAAGACAGAAUAUCAGAGAGAAUUGAGGUGACAUCAAGAAGUGUAUACAGAUUAACAGUGGUGCAUUUACUGUCACUCACACCAGCACCAGUUAUUCUGUAAACUUCAGGUCUCUGAUUCUCACACCCUACAUGUGGAAACUUCUUUCUUGACAUCUGCCUCUUUUUAAAUAUAUGUUGUCCAGUUUUCUUUUUAGCUUUUUGACAUUUGUCUUUGUAACUUCCUUUCUUCCAGUCUUCACAGACCUGUCUAAGCUCAUUAUAUCACUUCGCACGAGGUGUUGCUCCAACCAUAUACUUGGUGUGUGGCCUUCAGCAGACUGUCCCAUUAGAUAUGCUUGCAUUUGACUAUAAGUCUUUAUUUCAUAUCAUCAAAUGCUCCAAGAAAUACUUCUCUGAACAUC
rnacentral:lncRNA from 1 species